AUGAAAACAAGAGCUCAACUCUUCUAUGGCGGCCGCAAAUUAGAAUGUUCACGCUCCUUCUCUUUCAAUAGCCUCCGUGAAUCCUCAGAUUUUGUCGAAUUCAUCCCUCUCCGCCACGAACCUCUAAUUGAAUCAAAUACCGCCACUCGAAUCCGCUCAUCCACCAUAUUUUACUUCAUCUUCGAAGCUUAG